rnacentral:rRNA from 1 species
AUGGCGUCGGGCUCCUCCCGAGUUCACGUCGACCAGUUCUUCGCGGUCAAGAAGCGGCGGCCCUCGUCGCAGCAUGGGAGCCCCGGGGCCGCCAAGGGUUCCCUGGCGGGGUACCUGGUCCGGUCCCCUCCCGCCGCGGCCGCGGCGGCGGCGGCUUCGUCGGCGGCCCUGGCCGGCUCCCCCUCAGGCGCCCGGAGGAGCCUCGCGGCGUCCAUGAACGCCGACAUCGCCAAUUCCGCCGCGGCGAUGAAUGUCGACGCGGGCGAUUCCGCGGCGGCGGCGGCGGCGCCGGACUACGGGGACGACCUGGAGAUGAAGCGGUUCACCAUGGAGUUCCUGUCCCAUUACUGCAGCGAUAUCCCGUCUGUUAUGAUGCCUGAUGCUGGCAAGGGCGAACCAGACAAGCAGCAGAAGAGGAGCGCGGUCAACUCCUUCUUGGCUCCCUGCGGCGAUAGAUCUGCCAAGAAGCAAUGCGUUUCUCGUUGUGGUGCUGCCGAAGUUGCAAGGGUUAAGGAUUCAGGCGAUAACAUGCCCUUCAGAUGCGUCAGUAAUCAUGGUGCUUCAGAACACCUUGAGGGGUUACACGAGGGGCCAAAUCUAAGCGGUGAGGGAUUUGCGGCCUUGCAAAGGUCCAGCUUUACCCCAUAUGCUGCGCAGAAAAUGGCUGGGUUUUCUGCAGCACCUGGAGAGACCCCAAAAUCUGCAUCCUCCCUGAUAUCACCAGGGGAGGACUUCUGGAAUGCUGCAAUGGAAUUUGCUGAUGACGUCUCUGCUAUGGCUGGUAAGGGUCCUCGAAGGCGACACUGCGAUGCGGCUGAGGACAAGUCGUCCUGUGCAGUUGCACUGGGUUCUAAGACUCUUCCUAGAUCAGGAAAUGAGGAAUUUAACUGUGAAAAUACAGUAGGCAGCAAUCCUAUGAAGCAGAUAGACACGUUCUCAAAUGCAAUAGAAUUAGCGGCAGCGAAUAGACAGCAUAAGAACAACUCUCCUUUGCCUGUGAAGCAUUUGGACUUCUUUCAUGAGGAUGCAAUUCAAGUUUCAGGCCUGGAAGGUAAAGAAAAAGGUGACACUGUUCCUGGAAGUGCACAAGUGAACCAGGGUCGACCGAAGGACAGUAGCUUUCAUAGAACGGAAAACCUCAUGCAUUCUGUAAAUAACAUGAAGGCAAUUACUUCUAAUCCAGACAACGAUUCUCCGGUCAUGAUUCCUGGUGAAGGUCUGUUCAAGUCAAAAACAGCAGGGAUGGGUCAUUCAAUUGAUGCGGGCGGCAGAGGUUCUUGUAUGAUUAAGAGUGACCUCAAUCAACCGACCCAUGGUGAGAUUAAAUCGCUUGCUGCAAAUUCAAAUUCUUGCAAGCCUAACAGAGAUUCCAAGAGUAAGUUUGCUUCUCAAAGAGUGGAAGCUUGCACUCCUACCAGCUCUGUUCCUCUAAAGGAUCACUCCAAGCUCUCAAGCUGGCUCCCUCAUGAGCUUUGUGCUAUAUACAUGAAAAAAGGCAUUCCACAGCUAUAUCCAUGGCAGGUGGAAUGUUUGCUUGUAGAUGGUGUCUUGGAGAAUCGCAAUCUUGUAUAUUGCGCAUCUACGAGUGCUGGUAAAAGUUUUGUUGCUGAAGUUCUGAUGUUGAGACGGAUAUUGUCCAGUCAAAAGAUAGCAAUUCUAGUCCUUCCGUAUGUUUCAUUAUGUGCUGAAAAGGCUGAACAUCUCGAGCAGCUUCUUGCGCCACUGGGUAAGCAUGUCCGUAGCUACUAUGGAAACCAGGGGGGAGGGUCGCUUCCUAAAGAUACAUCAGUUGCUGUAUGUACCAUAGAGAAGGCAAAUUCUUUGGUAAACAAGUUGCUGGAGGAUGGCCGCCUUUCUGAGCUUGGUAUAAUUGUAAUAGAUGAGCUUCAUAUGGUUGGUGACCAGCACAGAGGGUACCUUUUGGAGCUGAUGCUCACAAAACUUCGGUAUGCCGCUGGUGAAGGAAAUUCAGAGUCAUCUAGUGGAGAAACUUCAGGUUCUAGCAGUGGGAAGGCGGGUACCACUCAUGGAUUACAGAUUAUCGGUAUGAGUGCUACUAUGCCCAAUGUUGCAGCUGUAGCUGACUGGCUUCAAGCCGCACUUUAUCAAACUGCCUUUCGACCCGUCCCAUUGGAGGAGUUUAUCAAAGUUGGUAAUAAAAUAUUUGACAAAGACAUGAACAUUGUACGCGUACUUCCCAAAAUAGCUGAUAUUGGUGGUAAGGAUCCAGACCAUAUUGUUGAGUUGUGCAAUGAGGUUGUUCUGGAGGGCCAUUCUGUUCUUUUGUUUUGCUCCAGCCGAAAAGGCUGUGAAUCAACUGCAAAGCAUAUUGCGAAGUACUUGAAAGUAGCUAAUGUUAGUUCAAAAGAUGUUGGCUCAGAGUUCCGAGAUGCUGCAUCUGCAGUUGAAGCCUUGAAGAGGUGUCCUGCUGGGUUAGAUCCUGUAUUGGAAGAAACCCUUCCAUUUGGUGUUGCAUACCACCAUGCUGGUCUCACGGUUGAGGAGAGAGACAUUGUGGAAACAUGCUACCGUAAAGGUCUUGUCCGAGUUUUGACUGCCACAUCAACUUUAGCUGCUGGAGUAAACUUGCCUGCCAGACGAGUUAUAUUCAGGCAACCUAGGAUAGGUCGUGAUUUCAUUGAUGGGACUCGCUAUAGACAGAUGGCUGGUCGUGCUGGUCGAACUGGAAUCGACACAAAAGGAGAGAGUAUACUUGUAUGUAGGCCUGAAGAGGUUAAGAGGAUAACAGGUAUUGUUAGAAGUGAUUGUCCCCCCUUGCAGUCAUGCCUCUCAGAAGACAAAAAUGGAAUGACUCAUGCAAUUAUGGAGGUUGUUGCUGGCGGGAUCGUGCAAACUGCAAGUGAUAUUCAUCGAUAUGUGAGGUGUACGCUGCUUAACUCCACCAAAUCUUUUGACGAUGUCGUAAAGUCUGCUCAAGACUCCCUUCGUUGGUUAUGCCAUAAAAGGUUUGUUGAGUGGAACAAUGACACCAAAAUAUACUCCACCACUCCACUUGGGCGAGCAUCUUUUGGCAGUUCUCUCAAUCCUGAGGAAUCACUGGUUGUGCUUGAUGAUCUUUCAAGGGCAAGAGAAGGUUUUGUUCUGGCAUCUGAUUUGCAUUUAGUCUACUUGGUAACCCCCAUAAAUGUAGAAGUUGAACCUGACUGGGAAUUAUACUACGAGAGGUUCAUGCAACUGUCUUCUCUUGAGCAGUCAGUUGGCAACCGGGUUGGAGUAACAGAACCUUUCUUGAUGCACAUGGCUCAUGGGGCAGCAAUGCCUAUUCGUGGAAGGCCCAAGAAAAACACUAGUGGAGGUUCUGGUGCAAACACUCUUAUUAAUGACCAGUCGCUUAGAGUAUCUAAGCGCUUUUAUGUGGCGCUGAUGAUAUCAAGGCUGGCUCAGGAGAUUCCUGUCACAGAUGUUUGUGAAUCAUUUAAAGUUGCCAGAGGUACGAUUCAAGCCUUGCAGGAAAAUGCUGGCAGGUUUGCUUCAAUGGUUUCUGCCUUUUGUCAGAGACUUGGUUGGCAGGAUUUAGAAGGUCUUGUUGCCAAGUUCCAGAACCGUGUCUCGUUUGGAGUUAGGGCAGAGAUCGCAGAACUUACAACAAUUCCAUUCGUCAAGGGCUCACGUGCAAGGGCUCUUUAUAACUCUGGUUUGCGUACCCCUGUUACCAUUGCUGAAGCAUCUAUUCCUGAAAUCGCAAAAGCUCUUUUCGAAAAUUCUUGGUCUGGUCAAGAUGAUUCUGGGUUACGGCGAAUGCAAUUUGGUAUAGCCAAGAAAAUAAAAAAUGGAGCUCGUAGAAUUGUUCUUGAGGAGGCAGAAGCAGCCAGAGUAGCAGCAUUCUCAGCUUUCAAAUCACUUGGGGUAGAAGUUCCUCAGUUUACCACACCUCUGCUCCCAGCUAGUGAGGAGGACUCUCCACCUCGAGAUGUCAUGGUAUUUCCUGGUGCAGGUCAUGCUAAGUGCCAAGAGUCAGUUUUAGGAGCACGUGUUGGUGAUGAAAGAAACAUCUGCUCUGAUUAUGUUGCUCAAAGGGCUUCUACAGUGAUUGUAGAGGAGGAUCUGCACCCUGUUUCUUCCAUUCAUAUUAAAGAGAGCCAAGGAAUAGCAAACAGUGUCAACAUUGCUAGUAUGCAAGAAGCAUCACCUUUAUCGACGACGCCCAGCAGAAAUGUGGCUGACAAAGGUCCUGUCAAUGCACAUAACUUCCCUGGAGGGUUCGAUGGUUUCCUUGAUCAAUGGUCUUCUGUUAAUGAAUUUUCUUUUGAUCUUCAUUUUGUUAAGAGAUCAAGUAAACUAUCUUUGACCAUUUUUGAAAUUCUUGGGUUAGCUGUUUGCUGGGAAAAUUCACCCGUCUACUACUGCAAUUUCCCGAAAGACCUAACCCCAACUGGCAACAAUGAUUCUGUUGAACUGUGGGAAGGAUUUAGGAGAAGAUGGAGUAGAAUAGUUGGCAUUAUGCAGCAAAAGAGUGUCAAGAAAACGACAUGGAAUUUGAAGAUUCAGAUUCAGGCACUUAAAUCUCCCUGUAUUUCUUGUCAACGGCUUGCUAGGCUUCACCUCAACCCUAAAACAUUGAACAAUAUUGAAGUCCUAGACACCACAUAUGUGUUAUUACCACCAAUCUCUGUCUAUAAUGGGUUGGACAUAUGCUUGGUGGCAUGGAUUCUCUGGCCAGAUGAGGAAAGCAAAACAGUGCCAAACCUUGAGAAGUUAGUGAAGAGACGGCUACCUAGUGAGGCUGCAGCGGCAGCAAAUCGGGAUGGCAGAUGGAGGAAUCAGAUGCACAAAGCAGCUCACAAUGGUUGCUGUAGGCGUGCUGCGCAGACAAGAGCACUGGGUUCUGUUUUGAUGAAGUUGCUUGUUUCUCAAAAUCUAAGUGAUUUGAUUGAAACAGUUGAGGGUCCAUUGGUAAAUGUGCUUGCUGAUAUGGAAUUAUGGGGAAUUGGUGCUGACAUGGAUGCAUGUCUCCGUGCGAGGCAUAUUAUAAUAACAAAGCUGAAGGAGCUAGACAAAGAAGCAUACAAAUUAGCGGGCAAGAGUUUCUCACUAAAUGCAAAUGCUGACGUCGCUGACAUUCUUUUUACUCACUUAAAACUGCCAGUCCCAAAAGGGUGCGAGAAAGGGAAGUUGCAUCCUAGCACUGACAAGCAGUGUCUAGACAAUCUAAGGGAUCUACACCCAAUCGUCUCAGUAAUUAAGGAACAUAGAACAUUGGCCAAACUGUUGAAUGGCACAUUGGGGUCCAUCUGUUCACGGGCUAAGUUGUGCAUCCAAUCCCAAAGGUACAUCAUACAUGGAAAUUGGCUUCAGACAUCAACUGCUACUGGCCGUCUAUCAAUGGAAGAGCCAAAUCUCCAGAGUGUUGAGCACGUGGUGGAUUUCACAACAGGAAAGAAUGAUAAAGAUUUCACAAGCAUGUCAAUGGUUGAUCAUCAUGAAAUCAAUGCCCGUGAAUUUUUUGUUCCCACUCAAGACAACUGGUUAUUGGUAACUGCCGAUUACUCCCAGAUAGAGCUGCGUUUUAUGGCGCAUUUUUCUAAAGAUCCUGUAUUGAUCGAGCUUCUAAGUAAACCGGAUGUUGAUGUGUUUACUAUGAUUGCCUCAAGAUGGAGUGGAAAAGAAGAGUCUUUGGUCUCUUCUAAGGACCGAGAUAACACAAAGAGAUUUAUUUAUGGCAUACUUUAUGGAAUGGGCGCCAACUCCCUUGCAGAACAACUUGAAUGCAGCCCAGCGGAAGCUGCACAGAAAAUUCAGAGUUUCAAGAGAUUCUUUCCAGGCGUUUCUUCGUGGCUACAACAAGCUGUGGCAUCAUGUCGGCAAAAAGGAUAUAUUGAGACCUUGAUGGGACGGAGACGUUUUCUUUCAAAAAUUACCGCUGGAAAUAGCAGAGAGAAAGCUCAAGCACAGAGACAAGCAGUUAAUUCUAUUUGCCAGGGUUCUGCUGCUGAUAUUAUCAAGGUGGCUAUGCUUAAGGUUCAUUCUGUAAUUACUAAUGGGAGUAACACAGUUGAUUCCAUGGAUGGGCUUAUGCAUAACUUUUCACAAAUCAGAGGGCGGUGUCACCUUCUUUUGCAGGUGCAUGAUGAACUUGUGCUUGAAGUUGACCCGUCUAUGGUAGCAGAGGCUGUAAAUCUGCUACAGAUAAGCAUGGAAACUGCAGCUUCACUCUUGGUACCUUUACGUGCUAAAGUAAAGGUUGGAAAAACUUGGGGUUCUCUUCAGCCUUUCCAGCGAGAGCCUUGA